AUUGAACGCUGGCGGCAUGCUUUACACAUGCAAGUCGAACGGCAGCGCGGGCUUCGGCCUGGCUGCGAGUGGCGAACGGGUGAGUAAUUCAUCGGAACGUGCCCAGUUGUUGGGUAUAGCCCGGCGAAAGCCGGAUUAAUACCGCAUACGACCUGAGGGUGAAAGCGGGGGACCGAAAGGCCUCCCGCUCUUGGAGCGGCCGAUGUCGGAUUAGCUAGUUGGUGGGGUAAAGGCUUACCAAGGCGACGAUCCGUAGCUGGUCUGAGAGGACGACCAGCCACACUGGAACUGAGACACGGCCCAGACUCCUACGGGAGGCAGCAGUGGGGAAUUUUGGACAAUGGGGGCAACCCUGAUCCAGCCAUGCCGCGUGCGGGAAGAAGGCCUUCGGGUUGUAAACCGCUUUUGUUCGGGAAGAAAUCCUCUGGGCUAAUACCCCGGGGGGAUGACGGUACCGGAAGAAUAAGCACCGGCUAACUACGUG
rnacentral:rRNA from 1 species